CAAAUAUAAGUUCAACCCUUAUCUUCCUAA
rnacentral:tRNA from 1 species